GACGAACGCUGGCGGCGUGCUUAACACAUGCAAGUCGAACGGAAAGGCCUUUUCGGAGGUACUCGAGUGGCGAACGGGUGAGUAACACGUGGGUGAUCUGCCCUGCACUCUGGGAUAAGCCUGGGAAACUGGGUCUAAUACCGGAUAGGACCGCACUUUAGUGUGUGUGGUGGAAAGUUUUUUCGGUGUAGGUUGAGCCCGCGGCCUAUCAGCUUGUUGGUGGGGUAAUGGCCUACCAAGGCGGCGACGGGUAGCCGGACUGAGAGGUUGGUCGGCCACAUUGGGACUGAGAUACGGCCCAGACUCCUACGGGAGGCAGCAGUGGGGAAUAUUGCACGAUGGGCGCAAGCCUGAUGCAGCGACGCCGCGUGGGGGAUGACGGCCUUCGGGUUGUAAACUCCUUUCGCCAGGGACGAAGCGUUUUGUGACGGUACCUGGAGAAGAAGCACCGGCUAACUACGUG
rnacentral:rRNA from 1 species